AAACAAAAUCCACUCCUCGUGCUCACGGACCACUCUUCCAUCUGUGGUCUCUGAAGCCUCAGGACAUUGGCUGCUUCUCAGGUCAUUCCGGACUCUGCCGCCGCCAGUCCCUUGGUGAGACGUGAGCGCCAUUGGCGUCCGUGGCCUCUGUUUCCGUGGCAACCCAGUAACCAUUAAUUUUCAAUUAAAGGAGACAAAAAGCUCGAUGACAGCUCCAGGUCUGCUGAAGAUGUCAAGAAUCUGUAUUAAUAUACAGCAAGAGAGCAUAAUUGUGUGUCCAUCUUCCAGAGCAGCGAAAAAUGGAGGGAUAAUUACCGGCUCGAAAGCCACUCUGUAAUUUAGUUCUUACUGUCACCACAGCCCUACACAUUAGCAUAAAUUAAAAGCAGAGUUUAUUGUUAUCAAAGUGCA